UACGUAGGGACCGAGCGUUGUCCGGAAUCACUGGGCGUAAAGGGCGCGUAGGUGGUGACCUAAGCGUGCGGUGAAAGCCCGAGGCUCAACCUCGGGUCGGCCGUGCGAACUGGGUCACUGGAGCAGAAUAGAGGCAGGUGGAAUUCCGGGUGUAGCGGUGGAAUGCGUAGAGAUCCGGAAGAACACCGGUGGCGAAGGCGGCCUGCUGGGUUCUGGCUGACACUGAGGCGCGACAGCGUGGGGAGCAAACAGG
rnacentral:rRNA from 1 species